rnacentral:lncRNA from 13 species
AUGCUGAGCUCUGCACUCUGCUUGCAGAUCAGUGCAGGCACACACACUCACACACGCUCUUGCUUAAGGGAAACGCUAGGCAUUUGGAGACGGAACUGUUGCACGUGCAUAUUAACACUCAAGCAGAGACACAUGCUUUCACACUCGCACGCACGUACGCACGUUCACAGAGGCGGGCACAAUUCUACCACCCAGCAGAGCAUCCCGAGGACAGGAGGAGGAAAAGUGACAGCAGCACCCUCUAUCCACUCAGAUUCUGAGAACAAGCAUUCUCUCUCUCUGAACGGCUUCCUGUUUGUGGUCAGACACUCGAUUGAAGAGGAGGAAGAGGAAGAGGGGAGAGAGCCCCCUCUGUUCAGCAGCAGCCUCCAUUGCCGUACCACCCUCAGGGAACGGCCACCGCCAGCGGAAUGUCCGGGGAGGGUAACCAUGGUAACCAGAAGGCCCAGUGCAAUGGAGUAAAGAAGCACAGGUAGGAUCACGCUCUACUUAAUGUGAUGUAACGGCUUGUUUCCCACGUGGUUUCCAGCUUGGUUUUCUUGUCACCUUUCUUCUCCAGUGUGUGUAAUAGCAAGGAUUGUAUCCGUGUUUGGCUCAAUUCCAUUAUUUUU